GUUUACAUGAUGAUACCAUUCUGUCCAGAAAUUACAUGUUGGCAACAAUGAGCUUUUUAACACUGAAAAUU